rnacentral:rRNA from 1 species
UACGGGGGGAGCGAGCGUUGUUCGGAAUCACUGGGCGUAAAGGGCGUGUAGGCGGUUGGAUAAGUCAGAGGUGAAAUCCCAGGGCUUAACCUUGGAAUUGCCUUUGAUACUGUCCGGCUAGAGGACGGAAGAGGAUAGUGGAAUUCCUGGUGUAGCGGUGAAAUGCGUAGAGAUGUGGAGGAACACCAGUGGCGAAGGCGGCUUUCUGGUCUGUAACUGACGCUGAGGCGCGAAAGCGUGGGGAGCAAACAGG